GGUGGGUGCGGCUCCCGCGGAGAGGCGCGGAGGACGCGUGCGUGGGCAGGCAGCGGCCCGGGCGGGACGGGAGACCAUGGCUCACGCGUCCGGACCUCGUGCGGCGCGACUCUUCGCAGUUUUACCCGAAACAGAGGAGGCGCACGAUGCAAACAGACUUCCGCAGGCAUCUCCCCCACCCCGGCGUGUCCGCGCACGCGCAUGUGUCAUGCCCGGGGCGCACGUCCGCGCCUGCGCCCAGCACUGCGCUCUGCACCCACGCUGGCGGCGCCGCUGCGGGCGCGCGACGAAGCGCAACCUGAGGCCGGCCGGGGACGGCGCUCGCCGCGCAGCGGUUGCCAUGGUGCCGGGCAGGCCGCUUCCGGUGGACGGAGCCUCCCGGUACCGGGCGUCCCGCGUGGCCCCGCUAUGUCGAGGGAGGCAGUCGGCGGCCGACCCGGCCCACGUCCAGUGUGUACCGCGAAGGCAGCGUCGCCCCCGCCGGCUCCUCAGGGGAGGAGACCCUCAGACCGGCAGAUCUCAGCCGGCGCCGGGCCACGCCCCCGUCCUGGCACUCUGGAGGGUGAGGCAGGAAGAUCACAAGUGCCAGCCCACCGUGGACAACGCAGAAGCUUGGGAUACCCUGUCUCAGAUGUAAACGUGACAAAAGGUCUGAGGAUGCGGCUCAGUGCAGAGGGCCUGGCUUCGAUCCCCAGGACUGAAAACAAAAGGAAAAACGCAAAGCGGGGAAACCAAGAAGUUGCGAGUCACAGGAAGUCCUGACAGCUGGUCAGUGCCUGUGGGACCUGCGGGCAACAGAUGCCGGCCUGGCUGGGCAGACGCCCUCGAGUCACCAGCAUUCACACGCGCGGCUCUCCGCAUGGACAUCACUUGCUAGCUCCACACUCCGCUUCUGCUGAGCUGACCUGUUGCGGGCUGGCAGCAGAGGGGCAGCUGGGACACAAGGACCACAUCGAAGUCCUGGGCCUGAAGUCCAAGGCCAGGCAGCAGCAGUUCCGACCCUGGGAGGCCCCUUCCAGGCCACAGGCCCAUCCUGGUCCUGGGUGCUGGCUGGGAGACCCGGGCCUGCCCCCUGAGGCCUCCCCAGCAGGGGAUGCAGAGGCCCACGGGUGAAUCCGCCCCUCUAGCCUCACCAGCUUUCCAGGUGCUGGUCACAGUUGUGUCUAUGCCAGUCCUCAGCAUCCGGGCCGUCUGGGCCGGGUUCUGCCAUCCCUUCCUCAUCCCCGUCACUUGUGCUGAGGCCAGGCACCUGCAUGGGGUUGCAGACACUGAGAGACCGAGCGCUGUCACCUCCGCCAGGGCCGGGAGGUGGCUGGUGUCAUGGACCAGCAGCAGGGCUGGGCUGAGAUCCCUGGGGUCUCCUAGGGCCACAUGGUCCCCGGCCACCCUUCUCCUGGCUCUUGGCAGUGGCCCCUUCCGGGAGGGAUGGAGGGACCCAUCCUGCUGGGAGCCCGAGUGGCGCAGGCAGAGGCUGGACAAGGCGGGGCAGCCAUACCCGAGACACCGCUGCCUCCUCUGCCCCUGCUCCUGCACUCGCUUCAUCUGGAGCUAUGCCUCCCCUUCCCGCAGAACCCUCGGCAGGCGCUGACAGGCCGCAGAGGCCAGGGACUGAGUCCUGGUCCCCGUGCUGGAAUGGUUCUUGCAAGUGGACACGGGUGGGCAGCUCCCGUCUUGGGAAUCUAUGCAGGCCGCCGAUGGGUCCUGUACAUUGAGUGGGAAGCCCUGCCAUGUUUUAAACAGAAACGGCUGCACUCAGUCUUAAUCAUGUCUGCAUGGCAUGUGCCGCCCCGUGUGACAGAUGUCUGCUGCCAUGACAGCUGUGCACACAUUUGUGAGUGUGAACCACAAGUGUCAUUUGUGUGCCCCACGGACUCAUGGAUUUUAUGGCCAGCGCCGUUAUAUUUUUAUUACCGGUUGCUGACUCACUUCCCCAGAUGGCUAUUCAAAUUUAUAUUCCCACCAGGAACAUGGGACGUUCCUUUUCAAAACCACACUCACUAACAGCUAACAUGAUCAGACUUUAACUUUUCUGCUAACCUGAUACAAUUGUAUCUUGACGUUUAAAUUUGCCUUCCCUGUUUUCUAAUGAAAUGGGAAAUAUCUUCAGAUCUUUAUUGACCAUUCUGAAUUUUUCUUUCUUCCAAUCCAGGUUUUUAAAGAAGUACUAUUUUUGUU
ensembl:lncRNA